UACGAAGGGGGCUAGCGUUGUUCGGAAUUACUGGGCGUAAAGCGCACGUAGGCGGGUCGUUAAGUCAGGGGUGAAAUCCCAGAGCUCAACUCUGGAACUGCCUUUGAUACUGGCGACCUAGAGUCCGGAAGAGGUUAGUGGAAUUCCCAGUGUAGAGGUGAAAUUCGUAGAUAUUGGGAAGAACACCAGUGGCGAAGGCGGCUAACUGGUCCGGUACUGACGCUGAGGCGCGAAAGCGUGGGGAGCAAACAGG
rnacentral:rRNA from 1 species